rfam:Trichobilharzia regenti genome assembly, scaffold: TRE_scaffold0012994
AUACUGCUGAAGAGUCCCAAAUUAGGACGAAACAGCUAUCCAGUAC